rnacentral:misc_RNA from 1 species
AACAGAAAGAAAUCGAGAAGGGAGCAGCGACUCCUGGAAAGACGUGAGCAGGCUAAGAACGAAAAAGGAACGCAGUGAUCAUACAUGUCUGCGCGACAGAAAGUACAGCACUACUCGUUGAUACAGCAACUGCUCUAUUUUAUUUCGGUUUUUUGGGGGGAGGGAAGGAGGGCUUAUUCGCUUUCUCCUGCUAUUCUCACAAAGAGAAGGCCUCCGCCCGCCGCCCGCCCCAUCCCAUCUGUACACGACGCGGCACUUUUCUCGCAGCGCCUCUUUUGCGCCUAACGCUCAUACAUCACUGCGUUGGCCGCCCCCGCCAUUCCGUUUCUUUCCUUUUUUGUUUGUGUGUCAUCUAACUUACUCUUCUUAGUUGUUGCAAGGUGGCGGCGUGCAACGCUGUCACAGCACCACUGCGGGAGGAGAGCAUCGCUUGGAAGAAGACGUCCAACGUCAUUGUUGCGGGUGGGCUCUCCUGCCUCUCCCAUUCGAUUUCGACCUCUCUCGCACUAAGUGUUUUGUGUAUUGGGCCCUGUGGAUGAAAUGCCACUGCCGCAACCGUUGCGUGGCCGACGCGAGGACGAUGAGACCAGCAGUGACAACCUCAGCGUUGCCACCGGUGGUAGCUGCACCUCCAUCCCGUUCGCCAUGGUCGAGCCGACCACGACCGAUAAGCCCGUACGCGCCUCCAUCCUCAAUUCGACAAACCGAUCAUGUGCCGAAGUCAACUUCAACAGCGCUGGUUUUUCAAACAUCAGCUUUGCCGGUGACAACAGCAAGACGGCGGCAUCGGCAGGUCUUGGACGGCGCACUGAAGUCGCCGAUGCAAGCGGCUCCACCUCCGCCACCCCAGCGGCGGCCGCCGCGACGACCGCCGCCGUGAACAUGAUGCCGGCCAUCGUCGGCUGCUUCAGUUUCACCUUUGGCACCGGCAUCUGCGGCUUCUACAGUCGCAUCUUUCAGGCGAAAGGGUUUUCCGCGUAUGAGAUCGGCAUCCUCGUCUCAGCGAACCCUCUCCUGAGCAUGACACUGCUUCCUGUGCUGAGCUACCUGGCCGACAAGUGCCGCUGUCAGACGACGAUGUCGCUCGUGAGCAUCCUUAUCUCUACCGUGUCCAUGUUUGGGUACACCAUCUCCGAAGGGCGCGUGUUCACCAUAGUCUGCUUCCUUGUCAUGACAGCCUCGCGCGUCGUGAUUGGCCCACUCCUUGACCAACGGAUCCUCAUGAUGUUUCCGAAGCAAGUGCGAUCCAGCGCGUGGAGCUACGUCCGCUCCUACGCGGCCUACGGCUGGGGCAUCGGGUCAUUUGUGGCGUCGCUUAUCUUCUCGUACACUGGCAACUGGGUGGCUGUGACCAUACAGUACUUGCUCGGCCAGGCCGGCUUGGCAUACUGCAUGGUGGUGAUAAAACCUUACGAGCGAAUCGAGCGUGCGCCAGUGAAGUUUGUGGAGGUGCUGAAACUGCUCGCGGGCAACAAGCGGCUGAUGCUCUUCUUGUUUGCGUCGACGAUGAUGGGUACAGGGUACAGUUUCAUCGACAACUUUCUUUUUCUCUUUCUUGGCGAGCUGGGCGGGUCCGAGAUACUGAUGGGCCUCACCGUCAUCCUCACCGUCAGUACCGAAGUUCCGCUCUUCCAACGGUCGGCUCAGCUGCACAAGAUGUUAACGGAGCGGCAGAUGAUGACCAUCGCCAUGAGUGUCUGGGCGUUCCGGGUGAUGUGCUACGCCAUGCUAACCAAGGCGUGGAUGGUUCUGCUUAUCGAGCCCCUGCACGGUGUGACCUUUGCCUUGAUGUGGCUGCCGUCUGUGCACAUCCUCGCGCGCGCGUUUCCGCCAAAGCUGUCCAGCUCCGCCACCGGACUCCUCUUCACCUUCACGAGCGGCGUCGGCCCAAUGAUUGGCAACCUGCUCGCCGGCACCCUCUACACCUUGAUUGGGCCACGCAAGAUGUUCUUUUGUGCAGCUGUUGCUAUGACGACUGCGCUGAUCUUCUUCCAGACUCUGGACCGUAUUCUUGAACUACGCGGCAUGCCAGUGGUCUACGAGCCGGAUGCGGAAGGAGAUGUGGCGUCCGACCUCGCCUUGGCGGCGAACAAAGACCAGGCCGAAACACAGCAAGCGCGAAAAGAGAUAGCACCGGUGCCUACCAACGAGCCCAGGAGCAGCGGUAGCCGCAGGAGCGGCGCCGCACGUUCGACGGUAGCGCAACGCAUAAAGCUGAAGAGUUCCGACGAAGGGCGACGAAGGACCAUCGACGUGGCCGAGAGCGAACUACCAUCCUCGUUUCACGGCUGCGUCGAGGGCACAAAAGACGUUUGAAUAUUUUCCACAGGCCGCCCCACCACGAGGUCACGCCGGCAAACGUAUACGCAUGCACGACCACAGCUCAUCCACCUCUGCCGCACUGCAGCUACAUCCGUCGUCGUCUCGGAUGAGCCGCCCUGCCGUUGCAUCUCGGGGUCAUGCGCCGAACGGGCUCUUCUCAUCCCUUCCUCGUCCCUUCUCCGCAUGCGUGCUGCGCGACCAGCGCCAGAUGGAGACUCGGGUGGGUCACAAGGCUUGAUCCAAAGCGGUGCCGCCUGCCGUGCAGGUAGCAGGGGAUGCAGGCUUGGCGGCUGAGACAGGUCACCGAGUCCGUAGCAGCAGCCAAACAUGCUUCUCUGUGUCGUAGCUGGUCGGGUUAUCCUCCCACUAGCUCGGUCCCCAGCUGCACUGCUUCAUAUAAAUCGCAGUAGCUGCAUGCCGGGGGGGGGGGGCAGCAGCCUCUUAUCCGUGUGCAUGUGAGUGCAUUAUGACCAGAAUGCAUCGCGGCCGCACCUAAAUUACUUUCUAUCCGUGCUUUACCGUCUGUUCUCAGCGAGUAAAUGAGCUUCCCAUGAUGGGAAAGUGUCUGCUCGCAUGGUGCUAGUUUUUCUUCGUCUGGAGAGUGCGCCCGCAGCCCGCCCGGGAGUGAUGCGUUGAGGUGCACGCGACCGCCGUGCAUGAGGGGUGUGUGUGCGUGCAGAGCCCCAAAGGGGGCGUCGCCUUCAGGCUCGUAUGAGGGCUUCUGAAGCGCUGUGAUGACACCGCGGUCGGGCGUGAUUGCAGAGAGACACAGGCGGGUGCGGCGCAGCACCACUGUGGAGUCGAGGGGCAGUAGACCCGCCUCUUCGAGUAGGUCUCUGCUGUCUGCGCGCAUUGUUGUUCCCAUAGUGAUUGCGGCUGCUUGUGGAGCGAAAGUGCUCGAGGGCCCUCCCGUAGUUUGAUCUGGCACUAUCCCGUCACGCGAUGGCACCUUAGAGUUUCUUUGACGGAAUCCCACUCGUGCGCACAGGCCUCCCUGAGCUUGGCCAGUCGAUUCGUGGGUACUUGGAUAACCUCUGCAGCGUGUCUUGCCAGUGCGGCGCAUUGGCUAGGAGGUCCACGCCAAGAAAGCGGGUAUGACGAUCCUCUUCCAGGAGCGUGCGUGCAACGGAGAGUUGCAAGCUGGUUGCGGUGACCCUCACCAAGGAGUGUGCACCUCGUCCCGGGGGGGGGGAGGGGGGCACUCAGCUCCACGAAGUGCUCCAGUGUCCAGUGCUACGCCAUUCAGAGGGCGGCUUGUAGUGAGGCCAGCAUGACAUCCGUGUCCGCGGAGGAUGUGAGGAGUGCGAGGUCGUCAGCGAAUAAGCCAUGGUGCGCUGCUGGCGUCCUGUUGCGCUCCCCACUCAAGGGGGUUCACCACCAUGAUGAGGCGAAGAGGGCCCAGGUCAGAUGGUUGAGCAACUCGGCAUGUAAGCCUGGUCAUCGAUCUCAUCUUGCGGAAGCGAGCACAGGCACGACGAUCGUCUACAAAAUCCAUGAUCCUGCGGGUAAGGUGCGACUCUACAGCACUGAGGACGGGAGCGAGACUGCUGUGGUGGGAGCUUGUCUUCCACAUGGUCACGCAAUCACCGCCAAAUCAAC